UUGGGCUGCAGCGUGGCUGUUUUUGUGUGAUGGAGCCGCUUUUUUUUUUUGUUCUGGGUGUUCCGGUAUGGUCCGGCUCAAUCCGACGCCAUCAGGGUUUUCGUGAGGUCCAGCGUGAGAAACCGAAGUACAGAGACAGAAUCAGAAAUGAUGGAAACCCCGGGGACGCGGAUGGGCCUCCGGCUGCGAGCCUUGAGCUGAGAGGGACUGGAACCUCUCUGCUGGGGAGUGGUGGUUGGCGACAUCUCUGUGAUUCCAGAUGAGCUGGAGGAUGCACCGAGCCUUGCCGCGAUGGGGAAAGUGGGGGAAAUCAGUUGAGGAAUAAAACAGAAAGGUUUUUUCUUAGAGAACAUUAUUUGUCAGAUUUAUUUGAUCAAGAACUUGAAGAUUGUUAAGUUAUCACCGAAAAUGUUUGACUCAGAAGACAAUACUGAGGGGGAAUUACUGAUUAAUGAAGUGAAGUCACAGUGAACUUGAAGAUGAUUUUUCAGAAUUAUUGAGCAAUGAAUUUCAUCCUGAGAA